rnacentral:rRNA from 1 species
AGUGAACGCUGGCGGUAGGCCUAACACAUGCAAGUCGAACGGCAGCACAGUAAGAGCUUGCUCUUACGGGUGGCGAGUGGCGGACGGGUGAGGAAUACAUCGGAAUCUACUUUUUCGUGGGGGAUAACGUAGGGAAACUUACGCUAAUACCGCAUUCGACCUACGGGUGAAAGCAGGGGAUCUUCGGACCUUGCGCGAUUGAAUGAGCCGAUGUCGGAUUAGCUAGUUGGCGGGGUAAAGGCCCACCAAGGCGACGAUCCGUAGCUGGUCUGAGAGGAUGAUCAGCCACACUGGAACUGAGACACGGUCCAGACUCCUACGGGAGGCAGCAGUGGGGAAUAUUGGACAAUGGGCGCAAGCCUGAUCCAGCCAUACCACGUGGGUGAAGAAGGCCUUCGGGUUGUAAAGCCCUUUUGUUGGGAAAGAAAAGCAGCAGGUUAAUACCCCGCUGUUCGGACGGUACCCAAAGAAUAAGCACCGGCGAACUUCGU